rnacentral:rRNA from 1 species
GAUGAACGCUGGCGGCGUGCCUAAUACAUGCAAGUCGAGCGAACAGACGAGGAGCUUGCUCCUCUGACGUUAGCGGCGGACGGGUGAGUAACACGUGGAUAACCUACCUAUAAGACUGGGAUAACUUCGGGAAACCGGAGCUAAUACCGGAUAAUCUAUUGAACCGCAUGGUUCAAUAGUGAAAGACGGUUUUGCUGUCACUUAUAGAUGGAUCCGCGCCGCAUUAGCUAGUUGGUAAGGUAACGGCUGACCAAGGCAACGAUGCGUAGCCGACCUGAGAGGGUGAUCGGCCACACUAGAACUGAGACACGGUCCAGACUCCUACGGGAGGCAGCAGUAGGGAAUCUUCCGCAAUGGGCGAAAGCCUGACGGAGCAACGCCGCGUGAGUGAUGAAGGUCUUCGGAUCGUAGAACUCUGUUAUUAGGGAAGAACAAAUGGGUAAGGAACUAUGCACGUCGUGACGGUACCUAAUCAGAAAGCCACGGCUAACUACGUG